GUGCUCACUUGGGCAGCACAUAUACUAAAAUUGGAACGAUACAGAAAGAUUAGCAUGGCCCCUUCACGAGGGUGACAGGUGAAUUCAUGAAACGUUCCGUAUUUGG